rnacentral:rRNA from 1 species
UGGGGAAUUUUGGACAAUGGGGGAAACCCUGAUCCAGCCAUCCCGCGUGUGCGAUGAAGGCCUUCGGGUUGUAAAGCACUUUUUGCAGGAAAGAAACGUCAUGGGUUAAUACCCCGUGAAACUGACGGUACCUGCAGAAUAAGCACCGGCUAACUACGUGCCAGCAGCCGCGGUAAUACGUAGGGUGCAAGCGUUAAUCGGAAUUACUGGGCGUAAAGCGUGCGCAGGCGGUUCGGAAAGAAAGAUGUGAAAUCCCAGAGCUCAACUUUGGAACUGCAUUCUUAACUACCGGGCUAGAGUGUGUCAGAGGGAGGUGGAAUUCCGCGUGUAGCAGUGAAAUGCGUAGAUAUGCGGAGGAACACCGAUGGCGAAGGCAGCCUCCUGGGAUAACACUGACGCUCAUGCACGAAAGCGUGGGGAGCAAGCAGG